rnacentral:lncRNA from 1 species
AAAUAAAUAAUGCAUAACUUUUUAAAGACAGUGAAAAAUUAAUAUUUUCUAUAAUAAAUAAUUAUUCAAACAGUUUGGAAAGCAAUAAAUCAAUUUAAUGAAUUCAUUACUUUUUCAUGAAUAACAGAAUAUGAGAUUAAUUAAUAUUUGCAUUACAGUAGCAGGGGGUAAUACAGCCGAAUGCUUCAGGCUGGAAAGAGUGGGUUCGAUUUCCGGUUAAUGAGUUUGCACAGCAAAGCGGGUGGGAGUUCAUCUCUUCCCAAAAGGGAUCAUUUUGAAGCGAAGAUGUCAGAUGAUGUAACUGACCAUUCUUCUGACCUCUUCAUCUCACCGAAAUGCGCACGUUGUUUCGAAACGUCGAAGUGUUUAAGUUUAUUCAUAAUAAAAUUAUCCAGUUAAACAACAAAAGUUAUGUUUAAUUUUAAUAACAGAUGCUUACGAAUAAAAAUUGAUAUUUUAGUGUUUGAAUAUUUUCUUUGAAUGAGUAAAGAUACUAAAUCAAGAGAUGUCAUGCUGUUUGGUUCAUAGCCAACUUUGAAUGGUAACUACAUAAAUUGAGUAACAUUCUUAUUCCACUUCCCGUAAAAUCAGAACACAUUAUAAUAAAUUUUGUUCUACUCAUAACGCAUCGUUCUUAUGUAAUAUAUCCGAGAAUUGUAAGUUUGCCUUUUAUAUUUUGAUAUCCAAACUUAGAAAUUUGUUUGCAGUUGUUAAAAUUGAUAAGACCGCAUUUAAUGCAUUGAUUAAUCUUCUGGAUAAUUCAUUCAGCAACGUGGACAUCGAUCAAACGUGGCUAAAUCGAAUCACGUUUCGAUUGAUGUAGUAUUUUGUUCGCGAAAAUGUUUUGGAAAAUGCUCGAGCAAUAUAAUAGAUUAAAUUGAUGAACGAAAG